GCCUGGGUGGCUCAGUCAGUUGAGCAUCCGACUUCGGCUCAGGUCAUGAUCUCACAGUUUGUGGGUUCAAGCCCCACAUCAGGCU
rnacentral:tRNA from 1 species